rnacentral:rRNA from 4 species
AGAGUUUGAUCCUGGCUCAGGACGAACGCUGGCGGCGUGCUUAACACAUGCAAGUCGAGCGGUAAGGCCUUUCGGGGUACACGAGCGGCGAACGGGUGAGUAACACGUGGGUGAUCUGCCCUGCACUUCGGGAUAAGCCUGGGAAACUGGGUCUAAUACCGGAUAUGACCUCAGGUUGCAUGACUUGGGGUGGAAAGAUUUAUCGGUGCAGGAUGGGCCCGCGGCCUAUCAGCUUGUUGGUGGGGUAAUGGCCUACCAAGGCGACGACGGGUAGCCGACCUGAGAGGGUGACCGGCCACACUGGGACUGAGACACGGCCCAGACUCCUACGGGAGGCAGCAGUGGGGAAUAUUGCACAAUGGGCGAAAGCCUGAUGCAGCGACGCCGCGUGAGGGAUGACGGCCUUCGGGUUGUAAACCUCUUUCAGCAGGGACGAAGCGCAAGUGACGGUACCUGCAGAAGAAGCACCGGCUAACUACGUGCCAGCAGCCGCGGUAAUACGUAGGGUGCAAGCGUUGUCCGGAAUUACUGGGCGUAAAGAGUUCGUAGGCGGUUUGUCGCGUCGUUUGUGAAAACCAGCAGCUCAACUGCUGGCUUGCAGGCGAUACGGGCAGACUUGAGUACUGCAGGGGAGACUGGAAUUCCUGGUGUAGCGGUGAAAUGCGCAGAUAUCAGGAGGAACACCGGUGGCGAAGGCGGGUCUCUGGGCAGUAACUGACGCUGAGGAACGAAAGCGUGGGUAGCGAACAGGAUUAGAUACCCUGGUAGUCCACGCCGUAAACGGUGGGCGCUAGGUGUGGGUUCCUUCCACGGAAUCCGUGCCGUAGCUAACGCAUUAAGCGCCCCGCCUGGGGAGUACGGCCGCAAGGCUAAAACUCAAAGGAAUUGACGG